CCCUUAGAUGUCCUGGGCCGCACGCGCGUUACACUGAUGCAUUCAACGAGCUUAUAACCUUGGCCGAGAGGCCUGGGCAAUCUUGUUAACGUGCAUCGUGAUAGGGAUAGAUUAUUGAAAUUAUUAAUCUUGAACGAGGAAUUCCUAGUAAACGCAGAUCAUCAAUCUGCAUUGAUUACGUCCCUGCCCUUUGUACACACCGCCCGUCGCACCUACCGAUUGGAUGGUCCGGUGAAGCCUCGGGAUUGUGGUUCUUGCCGCUUUAUUGCGGCGUGACCGCGAGAACUUGUCUAAACCUUAUCAUCUAGAGGAAGGUGAAGUCGUAACA
rnacentral:rRNA from 1 species